AAAUUGAAGAGUUUGAUCAUGGCUCAGAUUGAACGCUGGCGGCAGGCCUAACACAUGCAAGUCGAACGGUAACAGGAAACAGCUUGCUGCUUUCGCUGACGAGUGGCGGACGGGUGAGUAAUGUCUGGGAAACUGCCUGAUGGAGGGGGAUAACUACUGGAAACGGUAGCUAAUACCGCAUAACGUCGCAAGACCAAAGAGGGGGACCUUCGGGCCUCUUGCCAUCGGAUGUGCCCAGAUGGGAUUAGCUUGUUGGUGGGGUAACGGCUCACCAAGGCGACGAUCCCUAGCUGGUCUGAGAGGAUGACCAGCCACACUGGAACUGAGACACGGUCCAGACUCCUACGGGAGGCAGCAGUGGGGAAUAUUGCACAAUGGGCGCAAGCCUGAUGCAGCCAUGCCGCGUGUAUGAAGAAGGCCUUCGGGUUGUAAAGUACUUUCAGCGGGGAGGAAGGGAGUAAAGUUAAUACCUUUGCUCAUUGACGUUACCCGCAGAAGAAGCACCGGCUAACUCCGUGCCAGCAGCCGCGGUAAUACGGAGGGUGCAAGCGUUAAUCGGAAUUACUGGGCGUAAAGCGCACGCAGGCGGUUUGUUAAGUCAGAUGUGAAAUCCCCGGGCUCAACCUGGGAACUGCAUCUGAUACUGGCAAGCUUGAGUCUCGUAGAGGGGGGUAGAAUUCCAGGUGUAGCGGUGAAAUGCGUAGAGAUCUGGAGGAAUACCGGUGGCGAAGGCGGCCCCCUGGACGAAGACUGACGCUCAGGUGCGAAAGCGUGGGGAGCAAACAGGAUUAGAUACCCUGGUAGUCCACGCCGUAAACGAUGUCGACUUGGAGGUUGUGCCCUUGAGGCGUGGCUUCCGGAGCUAACGCGUUAAGUCGACCGCCUGGGGAGUACGGCCGCAAGGUUAAAACUCAAAUGAAUUGACGGGGGCCCGCACAAGCGGUGGAGCAUGUGGUUUAAUUCGAUGCAACGCGAAGAACCUUACCUGGUCUUGACAUCCACGGAAGUUUUCAGAGAUGAGAAUGUGCCUUCGGGAACCGUGAGACAGGUGCUGCAUGGCUGUCGUCAGCUCGUGUUGUGAAAUGUUGGGUUAAGUCCCGCAACGAGCGCAACCCUUAUCCUUUGUUGCCAGCGGUCCGGCCGGGAACUCAAAGGAGACUGCCAGUGAUAAACUGGAGGAAGGUGGGGAUGACGUCAAGUCAUCAUGGCCCUUACGACCAGGGCUACACACGUGCUACAAUGGCGCAUACAAAGAGAAGCGACCUCGCGAGAGCAAGCGGACCUCAUAAAGUGCGUCGUAGUCCGGAUUGGAGUCUGCAACUCGACUCCAUGAAGUCGGAAUCGCUAGUAAUCGUGGAUCAGAAUGCCACGGUGAAUACGUUCCCGGGCCUUGUACACACCGCCCGUCACACCAUGGGAGUGGGUUGCAAAAGAAGUAGGUAGCUUAACCUUCGGGAGGGCGCUUACCACUUUGUGAUUCAUGACUGGGGUGAAGUCGUAACAAGGUAACCGUAGGGGAACCUGCGGUUGGAUCACCUCCUUACCUUAAAGAAGC
rnacentral:rRNA from 1 species